AGCAGCCGCGGUAAUUCCAGCUCCAAUAGCGUAUAUUAAAGUUGUUGCAGUUAAAAAGCUCGUAGUUGAAUUUCGGGAUCAAUAUGUUGGUCGUGCCUUGGUACGUACUGGCAUUAUCGAUUCCUACCUUCUGAAGAACCUCGAUGUCAUUAAUUUGGUGUCUUGGGAAAUCAGGACUGUUACUUUGAAAAAAUUAGAGUGUUUAAAGCAGGCUCGCGCUUGAAUACAUUAGCAUGGAAUAAUGAAAUAGGACGUUUGAUUCUAUUUUGUUGGUUUCUAGGAUCGACGUAAUGAUUAAUAGGGAUAGUUGGGGGCAUUAGUAUUCAAUUGUCAGAGGUGAAAUUCUUGGAUUUAUUGAAGACUAACUACUGCGAAAGCAUUUGCCAAGGAUGUUUUCAUUAAUCAAGAACGAAAGUUAGGGGAUCGAAGACGAUCAGAUACCGUCGUAGUCUUAACCAUAAACUAUGCCGACUAGGGAUCGGAUGAUGUUAAUUUUUUAAUGACUCAUUCGGCGCCUUACG
rnacentral:rRNA from 1 species